UGUGGCAUGACCUAGGUGCCAGGGUAAUGUAGUCACACUGUGUGGCAUGACCUAGGUGCCAGGGUAAUGUAGUCACACUGUGUGGCAUGACCUAGGUGCCAGGGUAAUGUAGUCACACUGUGUGGCAUGACCUAGGUGCCAGGGUAAUAUAGUCACACUGUGUGGCAUGACCUAGGUGCCAGGGUAAUGUAGUAACUGUGUUUUCUGUGGAACAUUUUGCAAUAAUGAUGAAGUUCAAUUCUGAGAUGACAGAAGAAGAAAAGGAAUGAGGUUCACAGAGAAGCUUGAUCCAAACUCUAAAGAAAUGAUGGCAAAACCACAGAAGGUCAGUGUGGCUUGCAGUCACCAUGACUGGUCCACAGAAUAUUGCUGGCAUGGUAAUACU